rnacentral:rRNA from 1 species
CCUUAGAGUUUGAUCCUGGCUCAGGAUGAACGCUAGCGACAGGCUUAACACAUGCAAGUCGAGGGGCAGCACAGGUAGCAAUACCGGGUGGCGACCGGCGCACGGGUGAGUAACGCGUAUGCAACUUACCUAUCAGAGGGGGAUAACCCGGCGAAAGUCGGACUAAUACCGCAUGAAGCAGGGGCCCCGCAUGGGGACAUUUGCUAAAGAUUCAUCGCUGAUAGAUAGGCAUGCGUUCCAUUAGGCAGUUGGCGGGGUAACGGCCCACCAAACCGACGAUGGAUAGGGGUUCUGAGAGGAAGGUCCCCCACAUUGGUACUGAGACACGGACCAAACUCCUACGGGAGGCAGCAGUGAGGAAUAUUGGUCAAUGGGCGUAAGCCUGAACCAGCCAAGUCGCGUGAGGGAUGAGGGUUCUAUGGAUCGUAAACCUCUUUUAUAAGGGAAUAAAGUGCGGGACGUGUCCCGUUUUGUAUGUACCUUAUGAAUAAGGAUCGGCUAACUCCGUGCCAGCAGCCGCGGUAAUACGGAGGAUCCGAGCGUUAUCCGGAUUUAUUGGGUUUAAAGGGUGCGUAGGCGGCCUUUUAAGUCAGCGGUGAAAGUCUGUGGCUCAACCAUAGAAUUGCCGUUGAAACUGGGGGGCUUGAGUAUGUUUGAGGCAGGCGGAAUGCGUGGUGUAGCGGUGAAAUGCUUAGAUAUCACGCAGAACCCCGAUUGCGAAGGCAGCCUGCCAAGCCAUGACUGACGCUGAUGCACGAAAGCGUGGGGAUCAAACAGGAUUAGAUACCCUGGUAGUCCACGCAGUAAACGAUGAUCACUAGCUGUUUGCGAUACAGUGUAAGCGGCACAGCGAAAGCGUUAAGUGAUCCACCUGGGGAGUACGCCGGCAACGGUGAAACU